UCUCUCUAAAAAAACAAACAAAACAUUUUUAAAAAUAAAAGAGAGAAGGUUUUUUCAAAAUUCAGAAGAUAUGUGUCUGUUAUAAAAAUCUGAGUACAGUGAAACUUACUGUGCUUUUAAGAAAGCCAACCAAUAAAACUACAGCUUUGGAUCAUUUUGGCUCUCUAAACAGGAACAGCUGGAUUCCUAUGAGAACUGCUGCUUCAGUUUCUAAGCUUGUAAAGUCAAGACCAAAGUCUUUUUUAUAAAUUCAAUGAUUGCACUUGGCAAAGGGCUAUAAACCCAAAGAUUCAUUUUAAAUUAAAAUACAUGUUGCAUAAGGUGUCAGGUUUCCACUGGGAGGCUGUUGAUUCCAAACCAAAAUUAACAGUGGACAGAAAGCACAGGAAUGCAGGGGUUUUUUAUUUCCUAAAAAACAUUUGGACACACACACACACACACACACAUUGUCAAGAAUCAAAAAGUCCUCUAAUGCUGCCUCCAAAACUCAUCCAUGCAGGCCCAGUAGGCUAGGCAGAAUCUAUGCCUCUGCCCAAUGGCUGGAGUGUUUCAGCCCUCGCUCCUAUAAGAGAGGGGUUUCAUUCGCCAAACUGAGGCAGAAGAGCUAGCCUGCAGUGAACUGGGAAAUCAUAAUUCUUCAUCUGGGGUGCAAUGAUGAUGGUGGUAAGUGUGUCUAAAUUUGUCCAGAGGUAAGGCAACAAAGCAAUGUGACUUGAUUUGAAACACUGACAUACUAACCAAUUUUCUUCUCCUACACUAGGCUGUUUCUAAGGCUUUCAAAAAUAAAACAUUUAAUGUGAAUUUGCACAUUUGCCACUUAGCAACAUUUUAAAAAAUGGGAUUUAACCUAAUUGGAUUCAGGAACUCCCAGAAAACUUCCCUGAGGCAGUCAGUUCUGCACCACUACAAUUCAGCUCCAGCCUUUUUCUAAGGCUCAGAUCUGAAUGUGAUUAAACCAUGUAAGAAAACACCACCAAGCAAGAACUGCACGGCAUAGUUAAAAGCUGGAUUUUUGGAUCUUCCCCAAAAUCUAUAGCUUACUUGCUUGUGUGAAAAAUAAGUGGCACAUUGAUACUAGUAAUUUACCUGACUUCUGAACUUAUGUAGGCAGCAAAUUAGUAUUUAUCUCCUUAAUCUCUCACAAGAAAUAAAACAGGUCAGAGGAGCUGUUGAUGCUGACCAGGAAACUAUAUUCCAGCAGAGCCCUGCAUUUCAGCCUCACGUGUAGGGGGAUGGAAAUGAGGAAGGGCAUGGAAAAGAAUUGCCCCUUGGCAUUUAAAUAAUUCUUUGAAACUGUGAGAAAACACUUGAAAUAUAAAACCUCUUUGUCCUGCACAAUAAUCCUGUAAAGGAGAGAGGACAGAUAAUGUACCAACAAAUAAACUAAGGUGCAAAUAAGUUAUGCUACUUGCCCUAAGUCACACAGCCCGCCGAUGGCAAGUCAAUACGAAAUAGUGUCAUGGCUGUUUCUUUUUCUUUAGAGUGACAGCACAGCAAGUUUUAGAUUUGUCUGGCUUAAGAAAUUUGUCAAAAGAAAACUAGCAUCAGUUCAGACUUCCACGGAUAGUCUUAACUUUUUAUUUGGGUAUAAAAUAUAUUCAGUAAUAUACAACAUGUGCAUGAAGUUGAUAAUGAUUGGUGAAUUUUUACAUACAUAUGUGUAUGUAACCACCACCCACAUUCAGAUACAAAACAUUUCUAGCAUCCUUGUGUCUGUUCAACUAUUCUGACUUUUCUCCUCAUAGAUAAAUUUUGCCUGCUCUUGAACUUCAUAUAAAUGGUAUGUAUUCCUUUUUGUCUGGCACUUUUCACUUGAUAUAAUGUCUGUGAGGUUCACCUGUGUGUGUAUCAGUAGCUUCAUUUUAUGAAUAUGACCUUUCAUUCAUCCAUUCUCUUAUUGAUGGAUGUUUGGAUUGUUUCCAGUUUGGGGCUACUGUGAAGAAAGCUUUUAUGAACAUUCUUAUACAUAGCCUUUGGUGAACUUAUACAUUCUUUUUCAGGGUGCAUACUUAGUGCCCCUAUGGAACUUCUCAGUCACAGGGUAGGUAAGUCUUUAGUUUUAAAGGAAAUUGCCAACACUUUUCCAAAGUGGUUGCACCAAUUUACACUCCCAUUAUCAUUGAUGAGAGUUCUAGUUAUUCCACACCUUUUUCAAUACUUGGAACUAAUUUGUCAAUUCCUCCAAUUUUAGCCUUUCUGGGUGAGAGUGCAAUGGUACUCACUCAUUUUAUUUUGCAUUUCUCUGAUGAUUACUGAUGUUCAGGGCCUUUUCAUAGACUUCUUGGCCAUAUAUGUAAAGAGUUUUUUCAAGUUCUGUGCCCAUUUUUAAAAAAUCAUCUUAUGAGUCUCCUUUUUGAUAUAUAUAAUCUUUGCCAGUCUGUGAUUUGAUGAUGGGAAAUUCUUAAUUUUUUAAAGCUUAAUAUGACAAUUUUUUCUUUUAUGGUUAUACUCAGAUAAUAUUUCCUGUGGGUUUUUUUUUCUAGAACACUAUUUCUCAAAUUGUUUGGUCUCAGGACCCAUUUAUAGUCCUAAAGAUUAUUGAGACCC